GACACCAGACCCAACCCAAAGCAUGAUUGAUGGGCCAUAAGACCCAUUGACUCAUAAGUCAUACUCAAAACGUAUAAGAUGCGUUCGUCCGGUGGAUAUCUGAACUGUUGAAAUUGCCGAAAUGCUGAGACGAAAACCUACGAAGAUCCAACUCAAAAUCGAAGACAAAGAGGAACUCGAAGAAGCUCGCAAGCGCUCCGCCGCCGCUUCCGCCUCCGCUACCACGGCGGCCACUGCUCUCCUCCACCACCUCGACCGCCCUAAAGACCCCUCCUCCAAAACGCACCGCAUCGGCCUCCCUUCUAAUUGAAAGUUACGCACCCCAAACACCGAAACAUAACUCCAUACACCCGCCGUUUUAUGUCUCACAUUCUCAAACCUCUAAUGGAGGUUGAGCUCAAGCUUAGGCUCCCAGACGCCGCCGCCCACCGCCAAGUCACCACCCUACUCGCGCCGUUCCACGUCAGCACACACCGGCAAGAGAAUCUCUUCUUCGACGGCCCCAAAGCCGAGCUCUCGGCUCGCCGAGCCGCCCUCCGCCUUCGCUUCUCGGACCGAGCCCCUCUGUGCGCCGCGACCCUCAAGGCGACCAGCCGGAUAAGCUGAUGUCGGCGGAGUCUAGGGUUUUGAGUAGGGUGAGGGAGGAAUUUGGGGUUUUGGGGUUUGUGGGGUUGGGAGGGUUCAGGAAUGUGAGGGAUGUGUAUGAUUGGAAAGGCUUGAAAUUAGAGGUGGACGAGACAAAGUAUGAGUUUGGUACUUGUUUUGAGAUUGAGUGUGAGAGUGCAGACCCUGAAGGGGUCAAGGAGGUGCUUGAGGGCUUCUUGAAGGAAAAUGGGGUUCAGUAUUCCUACUCGGAAACAUCAAAGUUUGCGAUUUUUCGGGCUGGCAAGCUGCCCCUUAGUGAGUGAAUGUGGAGCACAAUUGGAGCCUUUACCAAGUGGGAGAAAUGCUGUGAUGAAGGAAGCAAGGAUGAAAGUCAGAACCCCUCGAGACCAGUGAUUUCUUCUUCUGCUCCAAUCCAAGCUUCGUAGUUUCUCAUUUUAUUCUUGUGAAACUCCGUUAAUCUCUUUACUUCCCGUUGUUUGUAAUGAAUCGCAAUAAUGUCAUAUUAUAUUUUACCAUAUGACUGGAAGUGCUUCUGUUUGUUCAU